AUACGUAGGGAGCGAGCGUUGUCCGGAAUUACUGGGUGUAAAGGGAGCGUAGGCGGGAGUGCAAGUCAGAUGUGAAAUACAUGGGCUCAACCCAUGGGCUGCAUUUGAAACUGCAUUUCUUGAGUGAAGUAGAGGUAAGCGGAAUUCCUGGUGUAGCGGUGAAAUGCGUAGAUAUCAGGAGGAACACCGGUGGCGAAGGCGGCUUACUGGGCUUUUACUGACGCUGAGGCUCGAAAGCGUGGGGAGCAAACAGGAUUAGAUACCCUGGUAGUCCACGCUGUAAACGAUGAUUACUGGGUGUGGGGGGACUGACCCCUUCCGUGCCGCAGUUAACACAAUAAGUAAUCCACCUGGGGAGUACGGCCGCAAGGUUGAAACUCAAAUGAAUUGACGGGG
rnacentral:rRNA from 1 species